rnacentral:rRNA from 1 species
AUUGAACGCUGGCGGCAGGCCUAACACAUGCAAGUCGAACGGUAACAGGAAGAAGCUUGCUUCUUUGCUGACGAGUGGCGGACGGGUGAGUAAUGUCUGGGAAACUGCCUGAUGGAGGGGGAUAACUACUGGAAACGGUAGCUAAUACCGCAUAACGUCGCAAGACCAAAGAGGGGGACCUUCGGGCCUCUUGCCAUCGGAUGUGCCCAGAUGGGAUUAGCUUGUUGGUGGGGUAACGGCUCACCAAGGCGACGAUCCCUAGCUGGUCUGAGAGGAUGACCAGCCACACUGGAACUGAGACACGGUCCAGACUCCUACGGGAGGCAGCAGUGGGGAAUAUUGCACAAUGGGCGCAAGCCUGAUGCAGCCAUGCCGCGUGUAUGGAGAAGGCCUUCGGGUUGUAAAGUACUUUCAGCGGGGAGGAAGGGAGUAAAGUUAAUACCUUUGCUCAUUGACGUUACCCGCAGAAGAAGCACCGGCUAACUCCGUG